rnacentral:rRNA from 1 species
GCAAGUCGAGCGGAAACGAUGGUAGCUUGCUACCAGGCGUCGAGCGGCGGACGGGUGAGUAAUACUUAGGAAUCUACCUAGUAGUGGGGGAUAGCACGGGGAAACUCGUAUUAAUACCGCAUACGACCUACGGGAGAAAGGGGGCAGUUUACUGCUCUCGCUAUUAGAUGAGCCUAAGUCGGAUUAGCUAGAUGGUGGGGUAAAGGCCUACCAUGGCGACGAUCUGUAGCUGGUCUGAGAGGAUGAUCAGCCACACCGGGACUGAGACACGGCCCGGACUCCUACGGGAGGCAGCAGUGGGGAAUAUUGGACAAUGGGGGAAACCCUGAUCCAGCCAUGCCGCGUGUGUGAAGAAGGCCUUUUGGUUGUAAAGCACUUUAAGCAGUGAAGAAGACUCUUCGGUUAAUACCCGGAGACGAUGACAUUAGCUGCAGAAUAAGCACCGGCUAACUCUGUGCCAGCAGCCGCGGUAAUACAGAGGGUGCAAGCGUUAAUCGGAAUUACUGGGCGUAAAGCGAGCGUAGGUGGCUUGAUAAGUCAGAUGUGAAAUCCCCGGGCUUAACCUGGGAACUGCAUCUGAAACUGUUAGGCUAGAGUAGGUGAGAGGGAAGUA